rnacentral:rRNA from 1 species
GUCGAACGCCCCGCAAGGGGAGUGGCAGACGGGUGAGUAACGCGUGGGAACAUACCCUUUCCUGCGGAAUAGCUCCGGGAAACUGGAAUUAAUACCGCAUACGCCCUACGGGGGAAAGAUUUAUCGGGGAAGGAUUGGCCCGCGUUGGAUUAGCUAGUUGGUGGGGUAAAGGCCUACCAAGGCGACGAUCCAUAGCUGGUCUGAGAGGAUGAUCAGCCACAUUGGGACUGAGACACGGCCCAAACUCCUACGGGAGGCAGCAGUGGGGAAUAUUGGACAAUGGGCGCAAGCCUGAUCCAGCCAUGCCGCGUGAGUGAUGAAGGCCUUAGGGUUGUAAAGCUCUUUCACCGGAGAAGAUAAUGACGGUAUCCGGAGAAGAAGCCCCGGCUAACUUCGUGCCAGCAGCCGCGGUAAUACGAAGGGGGCUAGCGUUGUUCGGAAUUACUGGGCGUAAAGCGCACGUAGGCGGAUAUUUAAGUCAGGGGUGAAAUCCCAGAGCUCAACUCUGGAACUGCCUUUGAUACUGGGUAUCUUGAGUAUGGAAGAGGUA